UACAGAGGUCUCAAGCGUUGUUCGGAUUCAUUGGGCGUAAAGGGUGCGUAGGCGGCGCGGUAAGUCGGGUGUGAAAUUUCGAGGCUUAACUUCGAAACUGCAUUCGAUACUGCCGUGCUUGAGGACUGGAGAGGAGACUGGAAUUUACGGUGUAGCGGUGAAAUGCGUAGAUAUCGUAAGGAAGACCAGUGGCGAAGGCGGGGUCUCUGGACAGUUCCUGACACUGAGACACGAAGGCCAGGGGAGCAAACGGG
rnacentral:rRNA from 1 species